rnacentral:rRNA from 1 species
GUAGUGUAGGGUGAACGCUUAGAUUUUACGAAGAACUCCAAUAGUGUAGACUGCUUACCAAGACCAUAUCUGACACUAAGGCAAGAAAGUGUGGGUAUCAAACAGGCUUAGAUAUCCUGGUAGUCCACACAGUAAACGAUGAAUACUAAUUGUUUGCGAUAUACAGCAACUGUUCGAGCGAAAGCGUUAAGUAUUCCACCUGGGAAGUAUCCCGGCAACGGUGAAACUCAAAGGAAUUGACGGGGGCCCGCACAAGCGGAGGAACAUGUGGUUUAAUUCGAUAAUACGCGAGGAACCUUACCCGGGCUCGAACGAUAUUGGAAUACAUCCGAAAAGAUGUAGCUAGCAAUAGCAAAUACCGAGGUGCUGCAUGGUUGUCGUCAGCUCGUGCCGUGAGGUGUCGACUUAAGUGUCAUAACGAGCGCAACCCUUACCGAUAGUUACCAUCAGAUAAUGCUGGGGACUUUAUUGGGACUGCCACCGUAAGGUGUGAGGAAGGAGAGGAUGACGUCAAAUCAGCACGGCCCUUAUGUCCGGGGCGACACACGUGUUACAAUGGGAGAAACAAAGGGUCGCUACCUGGCAACAGGAUGCUAAUCUCGAAAAUCUCUCUCAGUUCGGAUUGGAGUCUGCAACUCGACUCCAUGAAGCUGGAUUCGCUAGUAAUCGCACAUCAGCCAUGGUGCGGUGAAUACGUUCCCGGGCCUUGUACACACCGCCCGUCAACCCAUGGAAGCUGGAAGUACCUGAAGUAUGUAACUGAAAAGAGCGUCCUAAGUAAAAUUCAAAGUU